CUUACUCGCAAGCGCUUCCUAGAAAUUCGCCGGAUGGUCCCCGGAGCUUCUUCCUGUGGUGCCUUAGGUGCUGGGGAGGGGGCAUCCUUGAAACGGCAAGCUACGAGCGAAGCUAAGUAAGCCCACAGCUCCAUCUAUCCCACCCCUCCGUGCGUCUCUGUCCUCUGCCUGGGCGCGCUCUGUAAUCAUAGCGAGCCCGGAGAAAGAGCUCCCGAGUCUACCACGUGCUUUACAUACCUUCUCUCUCUCACCUGACACUUGCUUACAACAACUCUUGCAGAACAUGUAUAACACCCUCAACAUAAUGGAUGUUCCCUAUAGGGAACUACCUGGAUGGGUCAUUACGAGCAUUGCAGAAAGCAGAUAGGUAUCACAGUGGAUAGAGUAUUGGAGUCAAGAAGACCUGAGUUCACAUCCUGCUUCAGACUAUCCAGAGUUAUGCCAUGUAAAGUGGUACAGAGGAAAGAAGCCCUCAUCUGGAGUCAAG